rnacentral:tRNA from 1 species
GAAGGUACAGCUCAAGUGGUAGAGUGCAUGCUCAGCAUGCAUGAGGUCCUGGGUUCAAUCCCCAGUCCCUCCA